UACGUAGGGUGCGAGCGUUAAUCGGAAUUACUGGGCGUAAGCGUGACGCAGGCGGUAAUGUAAGACAGAUGUGAAAUCCCCGGGCUUAACCUGGGACCUGCAUUUGUGACUGCAUUGCUGGAGUGCGGCAGAGGGGAUGGAAUUCGGCGUGUAGCAGUGAAAUGCGUAGAUAGUGACGGAGGAACACCGAUGGCGAAGGCAAUCCCCUGGGCCUGCACUGACGCUCAUGCACGAAAGCGUGGGGAGCAAACAGG
rnacentral:rRNA from 1 species